AACGAAAGCGCCUAAUCAGUAGAAACACUUGAAAAGAUUCCAGUUUUCAUUUUCCGCAUUACACGUGUUUCUAGAAAUUCGCCAGCGUUUCUGGGGAAUCCCAUUUUGGCAUUUUUUAUUACAAACACAGAGCCAUCAUUUCUGGGGAAUCCCGUUUUGCUAUUUAUUAUUACAAACUAAGCGCUAACAUCUCAUUUCGUGAGAAGAAAUCUCUCUGCACUUCUAUUUUUUGUGUGUGAUACUGUUCAGGACCAGAACAAUAGGCGUGCAGUUGGCAGUUGGCACCUGAAGUGGACGUAUUUGUAUAUCGAGGGUUCACGCGGGAAACUACGAGACUUGAUUUCGACCAAUGGGAAAUCUAUUAAUUCUACCCGACGAUGCAUCCGACUGGGAUUCUGCAAGAUGCCGCUGUGGAAAUGCCCGGGCCACAUCAUCUGCGCAUGCGCACAGAAACUACGGCGGACGUUGCUCCUCAUCAGCGUCGUCCUACUCGAGAUCAAGCGGUGGGUGUCGUGCCACUGCACAUGCGCAUGCACAUGCGUCACGUUCAUCGUGUUACGCUUACUCCAGAUGCAAGGCGGUGUGCAGAAGGGAUUAGUUUAUCGAACUGGUUCGACCAACUAAAGGAGAAAACGUCGAAAUGAAUUCAGAAUGAGGAAGAAAGAAAGAAAGAAGAUUUAAAAAAAGAAGAUAAAUGAAGAACAAUGGUGUAAAAACUUGAAAAUUAUGUGCAAUUAUAGCUGCUUUAGUUAUUUUGAUCACAAAAAUUAACUUACAGAAUUUUAUCUCUUUGGACGCGUUGCUGUAAUAGGCGACCACCUGCCUUAAGCGGUCGCUCAUCUCUACUCCCUUGUGUGACCGCUUAAGACAGGUUUGACUGUAUUUCGUCUAACUUACUAUUCAAUUCGUUUAUUGCUUUAAGCUACAAGCUUAUCAGCACAACAUAUUUACACAGCAUAUAUAAACACACAGGAGAAUUAAAUUAUUAUAUACAAUGAAACAUACUUUUGAUCUAACAUAUUAAGUAACAAUACAUUAAAAUAUAUAAACCAAAAGAUAUUAAAUAAGUACAUGCAUGGAAGUAAUACAUUCAAAGUUAUAACAUUUGCGUCUGAAAAGUAACAACUUUUAUAUUAUUAAACAACAGAUGAGUGCCGUAACUUGUAUGCCAAACAAAUAUAUUUACCAAUAUUAAUUAAAUCUUUAGUGUUUUUGGGUUUGCAUCAGCUGUAUAUAUUUAAAGACAGAAGGAUUUCGUCUGUAGUAUAACUUGAUAUAUUGUUCUCUUAAGUUUUGGAAUAAUGGGCAAACUAGCAUGAAGUGAUAUUCAUCUUCAACAUCGUUAUUACAAUGGUGACAUUUUCUAUUAUUGCGUUCAAUAUUAUGGUAUCUACGUCUUUCAGUUUCCAAGUCGAGGGAUGAUAAUCUUAAUUUGGUUAUGUACUUUUUAUAGUGGGCGGGUAUGUGCUUACACAAAUAAAAUUGCAGAGUAAUAUCCAUUACGAUAUGUUUAUAUAAUGUACAUUUUGUUGAUAUCUGAAUUUCAUUUAGCAGAUUCUGCUUAACUUGGUCAAAAAUACGCUGCUUCAUUUUCAUUAGAGUAUAAUUUACGUUGAUGACAUUCUGGUUUAUCCAAAGAUGACCAAAUCAUUUAAACUUUUUUUUCACAAAACCUAACUUCAGUGGCGGAUCCAGAAAAUUCAUUUAGGGGGGCCAGUGACAUGAGACGAAAUGCCAAGGGAACUUUGGGGGAGGUUUGGAGGUGGAUCGUAAAGAAAAAUGAAAAUUAAUAUAUAAUAAAAUAUAUAACUGUCGCAAAUCUAGGGGGAUCGGGCCCCUGCAACCCCCCCCCCCCCCCCCCAGGAAUCUGCCUCUGAACUUACUUACUUACGGAAUUCCGCUGUUUGGACGCAUUGCCGAGAAGGCUUUUUGUUAUUGCAGGGCCGUAGCUAGCGGAGGGCAAGGGGGGGGGGCAGUCCCCCCAAAAAUCCGGAAAGCAUUAUAGAAAUUUAAAGAAAAUUCUCUUCUUAACUGUUUACGGAGUUUUAGACUAUUAACUACUCAGUUGUCCCCCCCCCCCCCAAACAAAAACUCCUAGCUACGGCCCUGUAUUGUUUUUAUUUAUUUAGCUUUUCAUGGAAGCCGUACACCUCAUGAAUGCAAACAUAUCUGAAUGUUCUGUCGUCGUGUAUCAGUCUGUGCAUUAACAUCAGCAUUGUAGAGGCACAAUCAUGAUUUGGCAUUAAAUUGGCAAUUUUUA
rnacentral:lncRNA from 1 species